UUUACAAACAAUUUAAACCCCCAAAAAAGGCGCCAGAUUUUUAAAGCUUGACACCACUACACUCCUAUAAAUAUUCAUUUCCUAACACAACAUUCUACACUUCUAAACUAAAAUCUUCAUACUAAAAUUCCAGACGGCAGAAUGCACUUGAGGGGUCUUGAAGAUGAUAAGAAGAUGAUGGUUGUCCAAUUUCUCUCAAAACUCGAAAGAUGGCAAACCCAAAUACGGCAAAAUGAAAGAAGCCGACGUCAAAUUCAACUUAGGGAGUUG
rnacentral:lncRNA from 1 species